UACGUAGGGACCGAGCGUUGUCCGGAUUCAUUGGGCGUAAAGAGCUCGUAGGCGGCUGUUCAAGUCGAACGUGAAAACUCGGAGCUCAACUCCGAGCCUGCGUUCGAGACUGGAUGGCUAGAGUCUGGUAGGGGGAUCUGGAAUUCCUGGUGUAGCGGUGGAAUGCGCAGAUAUCAGGAGGAACACCGGUGGCGAAGGCGGGAUCCCGGGCCAGUACUGACGCUGAGGAGCGAAAGCGUGGGGAGCAAACAGG
rnacentral:rRNA from 1 species